rnacentral:rRNA from 1 species
CCUACGGGAGGCAGCAGUGAGGAAUAUUGGUCAAUGGGCGAGAGCCUGAACCAGCCAAGUCGCGUGAGGGAGUACUGCCCUAUGGGUUGUAAACCUCUUUUGUCGGGGAGCAAAAGACGGACGUGUCCGGCUGUGAGAGUACCCGAAGAAAAAGCAUCGGCUAACUCCGUGCCAGCAGCCGCGGUAAUACGGAGGAUGCGAGCGUUAUCCGGAUUUAUUGGGUUUAAAGGGUGCGCAGGCGGAUUUUUAAGUCUGCGGUAAAAUCGUGGGGCUCAACCCCAUCCAGCCGUUGAAACUGGGGAUCUAGAGUGUGCGAGAGGUAUGCGGAAGGCGUGGUGUAGCGGUGAAAUGCAUAGAUAUCACGCAGAACCCCGAUUGCGAAGGCAGCAUACCGGUGCACAACUGACGCUCAGGCACGAAAGCGUGGGUAUCGAACAGGAUUAGAUACCCUAGUAGUC